rnacentral:rRNA from 1 species
AGAGUUUGAUCCUGGCUCAGGACGAACGCUGGCGGCGUGCUUAACACAUGCAAGUCGAACGGAAAGGCCCUUCGGGGUACUCGAGUGGCGAACGGGUGAGUAACACGUGGGUGAUCUGCCCUGCACUCUGGGAUAAGCCUGGGAAACUGGGUCUAAUACCGGAUAGGACCGCAUGCUUCAUGGUGUGUGGUGCAAAGCUUUUGCGGUGUGGGAUGAGCCCGCGGCCUAUCAGCUUGUUGGUGGGGUAAUGGCCUACCAAGGCGACGACGGGUAGCCGGCCUGAGAGGGUGACCGGCCACACUGGGACUGAGAUACGGCCCAGACUCCUACGGGAGGCAGCAGUGGGGAAUAUUGCACAAUGGGCGCAAGCCUGAUGCAGCGACGCCGCGUGAGGGAUGACGGCCUUCGGGUUGUAAACCUCUUUCAAUAGGGACGAAGCGCAAGUGACGGUACCUAUAGAAGAAGGACCGGCCAACUACGUGCCAGCAGCCGCGGUAAUACGUAGGGUCCGAGCGUUGUCCGGAAUUACUGGGCGUAAAGAGCUCGUAGGUGGUUUGUCGCGUUGUUCGUGAAAACUCACAGCUUAACUGUGGGCGUGCGGGCGAUACGGGCAGACUAGAGUACUGCAGGGGAGACUGGAAUUCCUGGUGUAGCGGUGGAAUGCGCAGAUAUCAGGAGGAACACCGGUGGCGAAGGCGGGUCUCUGGGCAGUAACUGACGCUGAGGAGCGAAAGCGUGGGGGGCGAACAGGAUUAGAUACCCUGGUAGUCCAA